GUACUACUCGAGUAGUACAUACACUAAAAUUGGAACGAUACAGAGAAGAUUAGCAUGGCCCCUGGCGCAAGGAUGACACGCACAAUCGUGAAGCGUUCCAAAUUUUU